GAGUCAGCCGGGCAAUUGCUGUUCUCAUUUUUCCGUAAGUGAGGAGAGAGGAAAGUCCGGGCUCCGAAGAGCAGAGUGCCAGGUAACUCCUGGGAGGCGCGAGCCUACGGCUAGUGCAGCAGAAAACAAACCGCCACGGCACCUCGGUGCGGAGGUAAGGGUGAAAUGGUGCGGUAAGAGCGCACCGCGCGACUGGUAACAGUUCGUGGCAAGGUAAACCCCACUCGGAGCAAGGCCAAAUAGGAAUCAUUUAAUGCUGCUCGCAUUUGAUUCGGGUAGGCCGCUAAAGAUUUGUGGUGACUCAAAUCUUAGAUGAAUAAUUGUCCUAGACAGAACCCGGCUUAUAGGCUGGCUCAA
rnacentral:RNase_P_RNA from 1 species